AACUGUAAAUGAUGAAUUGUUUAAAAAACAUUGGGAAUCUCUCUGAAAAAAGUGAAAGACAACUUUUUACUGAUACAGAA